rnacentral:rRNA from 1 species
GUAGGGGUGCAAGCGUUAAUCGGAAUUACUGGGCGUAAAGCGUGCGCAGGCGGUUUUGUAAGUCUGACGUGAAAUCCCCGGGCCCAACCUGGGAAUUGCGUUGGAGACUGCAAGGCUAGAAUCUGGCAGAGGGGGGUAGAAUUCCACGUGUAGCAGUGAAAUGCGUAGAGAUGUGGAGGAACACCGAUGGCGAAGGCAGCCCCCUGGGUCAAGAUUGACGCUCAUGCACGAAAGCGUGGGGAGCAAACAGGAUUAGAUACCCUGGUAGUCCACGCCCUAAACGAUGUCUACUAGUUGUCGGGUUUUAAUUAACUUGGUAACGCAGCUAACGCGUGAAGUAGACCGCCUGGGGAGUACGGUCGCAAGAUUA